GGGGCGGAACUGUGGGAUGCGUAUGGAGGCGGGCGAUCUAACAGAAAGAAGAUUAACGCUAUGUCCAUUGACUGCGGGCGACUCUUUUCUUUUUAUAAGAGAGUUUUAAAAACCCAGUGUUAUUUAUGUAAUUUUAAGAGGAAGUUUAUGUAUUAAAUUAUUGAUAUUAAAUAGUUUUAUUAGGCUUAGACUUAAUUUUAGGUCAUUUUGGGAUGAGUUUAGCUCAGUUGGCUAGAGCAUCGGCUUUGCAAGCCGAGGGUCAAGGGUUCGAGUCCCUUAACCUCCAUUGGGCUUAUGCCCUAAAUUGUAAUUAAGUAUGUUUUUAAGUAACUUUGUUAAAGUAAUUGUUGGAAUGUGAAACACAAGAAGUUAAAAUUUCUGGGUUAAGUUGAGAUCUGUUGAUAUUAAGAAAAAUGUCUAGAAGCAAAAGCAAGCUUUCGAUAAAACCCGAAGUUGUUUCGCUAAAGUGCAAGGAUUAAACAGGAUUGUAUUUUUCAGCAGCCUAUUUUAUAAACGAUCUGCAUUUAGUAAAUAGUUUUUAGUUAGGAAAUAAUGUAGAUUACUAAGUGUGAUGUCUGAGAG
rnacentral:misc_RNA from 1 species